rnacentral:tRNA from 1 species
GGGGCUAUAGUUUAACGGCAGAACGGACGGCUCCAGACCGUUUAAUCCCGGUUCAAAUCCGGGUAGCCCCA